UCUUAAGGGAUAAUCCAGGCCAAGGAAGCAUCCUGAGACUCUAUGGAGAAAGACUACCACUUCUCACAGAGUGGAGGGGAGAGAAGCAAAUGAGCAAUGUCUAUUUAUGUAUCUGUAUUCUAGAUCAUCCUUUGUAGGGAGAAGAUGAAAGACAAUUUCACUGGGAGAUGGUCUGAAGUUGUUAGUGCUGCUGUCCUGUUUUCUUGAGGAAAAAGCAAGACAAAUUUUCAAAAGAAAAAAAGAAGUAGCAAAGGAAGCAGCAAGGAUGGAAAAUACAGUGUCAGGAGCAGCAGGAGCAGGAAGCAGCUCGCAGAGUUCAAAAGUUCUACCAGUAUUUGGAGCAGUUGUUUUAUAAAAAUCCUCCACUUUCCUAAGAAUGCAAG